rnacentral:misc_RNA from 1 species
GACAGUAUUUAAGAAACCACC